GCCUCUGGCACUCCACGCCACAGCUGGAUUGCACCUCCUCCGUGUGCCAUAGAUCUGGAUCUGUGAGAUUCUCCUUGGAAAGGGCAGUAUGUGAAGCAAACAUCAGUACCUGAGACUAAGCUGCACUGAUGACCCUUCAAAAGAGGGCACCCCCCCUCCCUCAUACCACCGGGCCAUAAAUGUCCCACCAGAAGCAGAGCAGCUUUCCUGGCCUGCCGUCCCGGUACAGCGGUGAUGGAUGCUUCCAGCAUGGCACUGUCAUGGGGGCCUCAGGCUGGGCUGGCCAGGAUCCUGAGAGCUAUAAAAGAAGCCCACGGGCAUCUCGACCCUGUUCCGUGUCGGAACUGGAGAGGAGCUACACAAACAGCUACCCCUUGUCAGGGGUCCCCUUGCAAGGAGAGAACCCUCUGAACGGGACGCCAGGACCCUGGGAGCCCGGCCACUCAAACAGCGCAUGGAGAGAAUCCAGCAGGGGCUUUUUUAGGCCCAAGCACAUCGAAAGAGCCAGGUCCAUGAGCCCCUUGCGAGGGAUCCACUCCAUAGAUAGUGGGAUAGUUUUAACCAAUGGCAUGGAAUGUGCCUGGAAACAUUCCAGCCCACCACUCAGAAGGAGGCAUUCUUUAUCUCGUCUCCCGGACUGGGACACAGAAGAAUAUGGUCCCAUGCGGCCAUUGGUUCGAAGGGUGUGGAGUGGAUUGGAGCUGGACCUGCGGGCAUCUUUACCAGAGAAUGUGCAGAGGACUGCAGGGCUGGGGCCCUCUCUGCGGGACGCUCCUGGGGUGCUAGAGGGACAGGCAGAAGAGCUGCAGAAACUGGAACUCAACAGGGUGAAGUUUGAGCUGCUUUCCAUUAAGCAGAAGCAGAUGGAGAGCUCUCUCGCCCAACUAGAGAAGGAAAAGAGCUGGUUGGACCUGUCCCGCUAUGAAGACCAGAAACAGAGAGGGGACCUGCAAGAGAAGAUCCUUAAUUUGGAGAUGGAGGUGGUGAAGGCCAAAUCCUGCUUGAGCAGAAUGAGCUGCCGCUCGGUCUCCCCAAGUCCCAGACAGAGGUUGUCUGCGGAAAAGGAGGAGCUGAACCGAGAAAUGACAGCUCUUCAAGAAACCCUGAGUGGUUACAAGGAGCACAUGAAGGUUCUGGAAGCAGAACGGGAUGAAAUGACCCAGCAGCUGAACUCAGCCAAAGAGGGGCAACAGCUGGCUUUCAGCCAGACCAAUGAGGCCAACCAGAGAGUGACGGACUCGCUCCAGGCGACAACAGCACUGCACAAGGAAAUUGGCAGACUCCAAGUGGCUUACAACAGCACCAGCCGGGAGAAAGUGGAGCUGCACCAGCAGGUGCAGGAUCUCACCCUGCAAUUAGAACAUGCGCAGCGGAGCCGAGAGGGAUUCAACAGCCAAGUGUCAGACCUCCAUCUGGAGCUGGUGAAUGCCAAGGCCCAGGCCAACCGCCAGGACCAGGAGAAGGUCCUGAUGAAGGAGGAGCUGGUGACCCUCAGACAGGUAAAUGAGAAGCUUUCCUCUGAACUGGGUCAGAGCCGCCAGAGACUGGAGACCUCCCUGGGUCAGCUCCACCAGCUGGAGGCUGAGAAGAAGAUCCUGACCAAUAGGAUCCAGGCCCUGGAGACUGAGCGCACGCAGCUGCUGGGUGAACAGGAGGCGCUGAAGUCAGAAAUGCAGAGGGAUGCUGGAGGCCAGGGGAAUGAUGUGGCAGCUCUUCAAACGACCUGCGAAGGGCUCAGGGCAUCGCAGUCCCUGUUGCAGGCGGAGAAGGAAGCCCUGCAGGCUCGCUGCAUGGAGCUGGAGGCUGCCCUGCGGCACAAGCAGGAGGAGUUGUGUGGCCAGCUUGCAGAGCAGCAGCAGGUCUCCCAGCACUGGAAGGACAGAUGGAACCAGGCGGCUGUGGCCCUAAAAACCAAAGAGGAGGAACUGGAGCAAGCACAUGUGGCACGUCAGAGCUUGUCUGCCAAGCACACAGAGCUCCUGGAGGACUGCGAGCUGCUCCAGGUGGAUGUGGAGGAGCUGGCCGAGCUGAGAGGCGCCAUGUGCAGCCUGAAGGAAGAAAACGGAGACUUAAUGAGACAGCUGAGGGAGCAGCAACAGGCCACCCAGCUGCUGCAGCUACAGCAAGAGCUGGCUACAAACACAUCUGUACCGGGAUCAGACUCAGAGAGGACUUCAGAACAAGAGGCCCUUUACAGAGAGAUCCAGGAAACCCACGACAGGAUAAAGAGGCUGGAGAAUGAAAAAGCUGAGAUGAAGUCCGAGAUCAGGAAGCUGAAGCUGGAUGGCGCUUCUGUCCUGCGGAUUGAACUGGACGCCUGUAAGCAGGAGCUGGAGCUGGAAAAGAGCCGCAGUCAGGCUCUGAAUGGCAAAGUGCAGCUGCUGCAGUCCAGGCGCUGGGACAAUGCUACUCCACCACGUGAGCAGAUCAAGUUCCCAGCAGCCUCCAAUACCACAACAACAUCUGGCUUAGAGAUGGAUUGUCCUGUGUCCUCUCCAAGAAGUUCUCAGAUUUCCAGUCCUCAAGGAGAGCCGUUGGCCAUGGAGAGCCCCCAGGGCUUGAUGGCCUCAGGGGGCCUGUCUGAGGUGGAGAGCCUGAAGCAGGAGCUCCAGAGGGAGACUGCAUCCCGGCAGGAAAAGGAGGAGCUGAUCUGGACUCUGAGAGAGGAAUUAGAAGAACUGAAACUAAAGCAGCCAGGAGACAUCAAGGCCUCCCUGGAGGAAGUAGACACAGAGUUAGUGCUGGUCCGAGAAGAGCUGCAGAAGGUUUGGGACAUGCUGAAAACACGUGAUACGGCACUGGAAGAACGACACCUGGAGUUAGAAUCAGCCAGGAACCAGUACACUGAAUGCAGCUCAGAGAAGCUGAGACUGGAACAACUCGUCGCCUCUCUGGAGCACCAGCUGGCGGAGAGGGAACAGGCCUUGAGGCACCUUCGACAAGCAAGUGAGAUGGAAAAAACCAAGCUGGAGAUUCAAGCCUCUUCGUUAGAGCUGAAGCUGCCAGAAGUGGAGGUCCUGAGAGACGACGCCCACCGACGCAACCAGGCAUCGGGCCCCCCAGAGGUACAGAACUGGGGCCCCAGGCAGAGCCGUGCCAGCCGCUCCGAGGGGAAGUGCUCCCAGUGUGAUGCUUUUCUGGCCCAGCUGAACAAGAUGAUUCAAAGCUGUACAGAGAAAGGGGCUGUGCUGCAGGAGGACCAGACCUUGACCUACCUGUGUGAGCUGCAGGGGCUCCUCAAGGGGCUGAGUCAGUGCACAGCCGGCCAAGUCACAAGGAGCCCCCAGGAAAAGAGCCAAACCUUGGAACAGCAGCAUCAGCUGGUGACCGAGCAGCUCAAGGGCUUGUUCAGACAGAGGCAGCAGCUGCAGUCAGGGCACAGGAAGCUGUCAAGAGACCAGAAGGACGAGUGCUCAGUGGAGCAAUGGGUGAAGAACUCUCAAGUGAAUGCAAGAGGAGCCAUCAAGCCACACGGGAAACCUCCACAGGAGCUAAGAGAAAAGCAGCAGCCUGUGCCAGGAGAUCUGGGCUUCUCCACCAGCACCGAAGAAGCGCAGAGCCUCAGGCUGCAACUGCAAGAGAAAACGGAAAUGAUUUCCGCCAUGGCCUCUGAGAUCCAGGGACUGCAGCAAAAGAACGAACACCUGAUGAAAGCGAAACUGCGGUUUCAGCAGCAAAUCCAAGACAUCCGCAGCCUCCAGCAGCAGCGACAGGAAAGGAGCGACUCAGACCUGCUGGUUCCUAGGCUCUCCAGCCGGCAGGAGCUGGAGUUGGGGCUGAGCCAACGGAGCGAUGGCUCUGCACCUCCGACUGGCGGUGAUCCCCAUGCUUCUCUGUACCUAGCCAAGCAGGUGGUGCUGCCCGAGGCAGGAGACGAGCUGUGUUGCUUCAGUUCUGAAAGCAGUGGCAGCCAGUCCCACGGGUCCCAGGCAGGGUCAGAACUGCCAGCGCUGCCGCUGAGCAAGCUCCCUGCUGAUCCUGUGACUGGGAAGCUGCCUCCCCCGUCCACACUGCCCCUCCCAGCCUCCACCUCAGCAUCUGGCAAAUCCUCCCCCGAGGCCCGCUCGGCCCCAGUGAGCCCCCGGAGCCAGCCUGGCAGCCAGGAGUCCUCGUACACUCCCAAGGGGGCAGUGCUGCUCUCGCCAAGACCCUUCCGGGCACAACGACUGGGCUCGCCCUUUAAAUUCAGAGUGAGCCCGGAGCCCCCAGGGGAGAGCUGUGGCAGCUGAAGCACCCUGUCCGUUGAGAUCAGACUAGAUGAUCACAACGGCCCCCUUCUGGCCUUGGAAUCUAUGAAUCCUGCAUGGCUGGGUACACGUGGCUUUGAAUGAUCCGCUCUGUGCCCUCUCCUUGUCCCCUGAGCUGUUCGCCGUAGAGUCUGGCUGGUAAAUGAAUGAACAUAGCAUGUUCUCUUGGAACUGGCUGUUUCCCCCUGGCAGCGGCGAAAGGUGGUCUCCUGACCCCUUGGGUUGGAAUUCAGAUUGGGGGCAUUACAGGGGAGGGGCUGUUCUUGCACUAGCCGGGCAACUAAGUCCAACAGUCCCUAGUUCCCCGCGCACCUGGGCCUCCUGGAGUAGGGAGCCAUCAGUGUGGUCUGUGAGCAGCAAAUGGUUCGAUGUAUGCUACAGGUUCUUUCCUUGCCCGAGCAUCUGAGCACCUGCCACUCAUGCGUUAAGGGAUUUGACUCACUUUUGCCAUGCGUAGUUCUUGCUUUCGCUCGUCUUCUCCCCAGGGGGAGAACUGUGUGCAGUGGAGUGUUGGGAAACAUACCCCCUGCUCUGUGUUUAUAUGGGGAAGGGACGGUCAGAGGGGUGCGCCUGGCACCUAGACCAUGAGGUGGGGAGGGUUGUGAUGGUCCUUGGGUUCAUCCCACAGUCUGAGGCUGGCCCCCAAGACAGCUCUGCCUCCUGCAUAGCCGAGCUUUACCCUGAAGUUAGGAAGUGCCUUGGUGCCAGAGGCGCAGAGCCCAACCAGGCCCCAGCCCAAACCUUUAGGUGAUCUUCUACAUAGGCUGGGCCUCUUCUGUUCCCCUGAGACAGAGAGCUUGCUUCUCCCUUUCCUGGAAGCUCAACCUCCUGAGGGAGAGGAGGCCGUAGAUAGAGUACCCCCAAGCUACACCAGCUGCAUUGCUCAGCUGCUGCACUGAGGAACAGGCAGCAGAGCAGGCCCACGCAGCUCACUGCCUCCAGUUCCCUUGUCCCUAGCAGCCCUGCCUUCAGAGUCAUCAGG
rnacentral:lncRNA from 1 species